rnacentral:rRNA from 1 species
GACGAACGCUGGCGGCGUGCCUAAUACAUGCAAGUAGAACGCUGAAGAGAGGAGCUUGCUCUUCUUGGAUGAGUUGCGAACGGGUGAGUAACGCGUAGGUAACCUGCUUUGUAGCGGGGGAUAACUAUUGGAAACGAUAGCUAAUACCGCAUAACAAUGGAUGACACAUGUCAUUUAUUUGAAAGGGGCAAUUGCUCCACUACAAGAUGGACCUGCGUUGUAUUAGCUAGUAGGUGAGGUAACGGCUCACCUAGGCGACGAUACAUAGCCGACCUGAGAGGGUGAUCGGCCACACUGGGACUGAGACACGGCCCAGACUCCUACGGGAGGCAGCAGUAGGGAAUCUUCGGCAAUGGGGGCAACCCUGACCGAGCAACGCCGCGUGAGUGAAGAAGGUUUUCGGAUCGUAAAGCUCUGUUGUAAGUCAAGAACGAGUGUGAGAGUGGAAAGUUCACACUGUGACGGUAGCUUACCAGAAAGGGACGGCUAACUACGUG